UACGGAGGGUGCAAGCGUUAUCCGGAUUCACUGGGUUUAAAGGGUGCGUAGGUGGGUUGGUAAGUCAGUGGUGAAAUCUCCAGGCUUAACUUGGAACUGCCGUUGAUACUAUCAAUCUUGAAUACCGUGGAGGUCAGCGGAAUAUGUCAUGUAGCGGUGAAAUGCUUAGAUAUGACAUAGAACACCAAUUGCGAAGGCAGCUGGCUACACGAAUAUUGACACUGAUGCACGAAAGCGUGGGGAUCAAACAGG
rnacentral:rRNA from 1 species